rnacentral:rRNA from 1 species
CCUACGGGAGGCAGCAGUGAGGAAUAUUGGUCAAUGGACGAGAGUCUGAACCAGCCAAGUAGCGUGAAGGAUGACUGCCCUAUGGGCUGUAAACUUCUUUUAUAAAGGAAUAAAACGAGGCACGUGUGCCUUUAUGCACGUACUUUAUGAAUAAGGAUCGGCUAACUCCGUGCCAGCAGCCGCGGUAAUACGGAGGAUCCGAGCGUUAUCCGGAUUUAUUGGGUUUAAGGGGAGCGUAGAUGGGUUGUUAAGUCAGUUGUGAAAGUUUGCGGCUCAACCGUAAAAUUGCAAUUGAUACUGGCAGUCUUGAGUACAGUUGAGGUAGGCGGAAUUCGUGGUGUAGCGGUGAAAUGCGUAGAUAUCACGAAGAACCCCGAUUGCGAAGGCAGCUUACUAAACUGUGACUGACAUUGAUGCUCGAAAGUGUGGGUAUCAAACAGGAUUAGAUACCCGAGUAGUC